rnacentral:rRNA from 1 species
GACGAACGCUGGCGGCGUGCUUAACACAUGCAAGUCGAACGGAAAGGCCCUGCUUUUGUGGGGUGCUCGAGUGGCGAACGGGUGAGUAACACGUGAGUAACCUGCCCUUGACUUUGGGAUAACUUCAGGAAACUGGGGCUAAUACCGGAUAGGAGCUCCUGCUGCAUGGUGGGGGUUGGAAAGUUUCGGCGGUUGGGGAUGGACUCGCGGCUUAUCAGCUUGUUGGUGGGGUAGUGGCUUACCAAGGCUUUGACGGGUAGCCGGCCUGAGAGGGUGACCGGCCACAUUGGGACUGAGAUACGGCCAGACUCCUACGGGAGGCAGCAGUGGGGAAUAUUGCACAAUGGGCGGAAGCCUGAUGCAGCAACGCCGCGUGCGGGAUGACGGCCUUCGGGUUGUAAACCGCUUUCGCCUGUGACGAAGAGUGAGUGACGGUAAUGGGUAAAGAAGCACCGGCUAACUACGUG